rnacentral:tRNA from 1 species
AUCUAAGUAGUUUAAUUUUAAAAUAAAGACUUGUGGAUUCUUUGAUGAUUGAUUUACCUAUCCUUAGGUA